rnacentral:rRNA from 1 species
UUGAUGAAGUGACUGAACGAGGUUCCAGGAAAAGCCACUAAGCUUCAGCUACACACGACCGUACCGCAAACCGACACUGGUGCGCGAGAUGAGUAUUCUAAGGCGCUUGAGAGAACUCAGGAGAAGGAACUCGGCAAAUUGACACUGUAACUUCGGAAGAAGGUGUGCCCCAUUAGUGUGAAGUGAACAACGGAGCAUGAAUGGGUUGCAAAAAAUCGGUGGCUGCGACUGUUUAUUAAAAACACAGCACUCUGCAAACACGAAAGUGGACGUAUAGGGUGUGACGCCUGCCCGGUGCUGGAAGAUUAAAUGAUGGGGUGCAAGCUCUUGAUUGAAGUCCCAGUAAACGGCGGCCGUAACUAUAACGGUCCUAAGGUAGCGAAAUUCCUUGUCGGGUAAGUUCCGACCUGCACGAAUGGCGUAACGAUGGCCACACUGUCUCCUCCUGAGACUCAGCGAAGUUGAAAUGUUUGUGAUGAUGCAAUCUCCCCGCGGAAAGACGGAAAGACCCCAUGAACCUUUACUGUAGCUUUGUAUUGGACUUUGAACAGAUCUGUGUAGGAUAGGUGGGAGGCUUUGAAGCAGGGUCGCUAGAUCUUGUGGAGCCAACGUUGAAAUACCACCCUGGUGUGUUUGAGGUUCUAACCUAGGUCCAUUAUCUGGAUCGGGGACAGUGCAUGGUAGGCAGUUUGACUGGGGCGGUCUCCUCCCAAAGCGUAACGGAGGAGUUCGAAGGUACGCUAGUUACGGUCGGACAUCGUGACGAUAGUGCAAUGGCAUAAGCGUGCUUAACUGCGAGACUGACAAGUCGAGCAGAUGCGAAAGCAGGACAUAGUGAUCCGGUGGUUCUGUAUGGAGGGGCCAUCGCUCAACGGAUAAAAGGUACUCUGGGGAUAACAGGCUGAUACCGCCCAAGAGUUCAUAUCGACGGCGGUGUUUGGCACCUCGAUGUCGGCUCAUCUCAUCCUGGGGCUGUAGCCGGUCCCAAGGGUAUGGCUGUUCGCCAUUUAAAGAGGUACGUGAGCUGGGUUUAAAACGUCGUGAGACAGUUUGGUCCCUAUCUUCCGUGGGCGCUGCGGAUUUGAGGAAGCCUGCUCCUAGUACGAGAGGACCGGAGUGGACACACCUCUGGUGUAUCGGUUGUCACGCCAGUGGCAUUGCCGAGUAGCUAAGUGUGGAAGAGAUAACCGCUGAAAGCAUCUAAGCGGGAAACUCGUUUCAAGAUGAGAUCUGCCGGGGCCUUGAGCCCCCUAAAGAGUCGUUCAAGACCAGGACGUUGAUAGGUCAGGUGUGGAAGCGCAGUAAUGCGUUAAGCUAACUGAUACUAAUUGCUCGUGCGGCUUGACCCC